rnacentral:miRNA from 1 species
UAUGGUGAGAAGGGUAAGAAG